rnacentral:rRNA from 1 species
CACGUAGGGGGCAAGCGUUGUCCGGAUUCAUUGGGCGUAAAGAGCUCGUAGGCGGUUCGAUAAGUCGGGUGUGAAACCUCCAGGCUCAACCUGGAGACGCCACCCGAUACUGUCGUGACUAGAGUCCAGUAGGGGAGCGUGGAAUUCCUGGUGUAGCGGUGAAAUGCGCAGAUAUCAGGAGGAACACCGGUGGCGAAGGCGGGUCUCUGGGCCGAUACUGACGCUGAGGAGCGAAAGCGUGGGGAGCGAACAGG